rnacentral:rRNA from 1 species
GUUGUGAGGUUAAGCGACUAAGCGUACACGGUGGAUGCCCUGGCAGUCAGAGGCGAUGAAGGACGUGCUAAUCUGCGAUAAGCGUCGGUAAGGUGAUAUGAACCGUUAUAACCGGCGAUUUCCGAAUGGGGAAACCCAGUGUGAUUCGUCACACUAUCAUUAACUGAAUCCAUAGGUUAAUGAGGCGAACCGGGGGAACUGAAACAUCUAAGUACCCCGAGGAAAAGAAAUCAACCGAGAUUCCCCCAGUAGCGGCGAGCGAACGGGGAGCAGCCCAGAGCCUGAAUCAGUGUGUGUGUUAGUGGAAGCGUCUGGAAAGGCGUGCGAUACAGGGUGACAGCCCCGUACACAAAAAUGCACAUACUGUGAGCUCGAUGAGUAGGGCGGGACACGUGGUAUCCUGUCUGAAUAUGGGGGGACCAUCCUCCAAGGCUAAAUACUCCUGACUGACCGAUAGUGAACCAGUACCGUGAGGGAAAGGCGAAAAGAACCCCGGCGAGGGGAGUGAAAAAGAACCUGAAACCGUGUACGUACAAGCAGUGGGAGCACGCUUAGGCGUGUGACUGCGUACCUUUUGUAUAAUGGGUCAGCGACUUAUAUUCUGUAGCAAGGUUAACCGAAUAGGGGAGCCGAAGGGAAACCGAGUCUUAACUGGGCGUUAAGUUGCAGGGUAUAGACCCGAAACCCGGUGAUCUAGCCAUGGGCAGGUUGAAGGUUGGGUAACACUAACUGGAGGACCGAACCGACUAAUGUUGAAAAAUUAGCGGAUGACUUGUGGCUGGGGGUGAAAGGCCAAUCAAACCGGGAGAUAGCUGGUUCUCCCCGAAAGCUAUUUAGGUAGCGCCUCGUGAAUUCAUCUCCGGGGGUAGAGCACUGUUUCGGCAAGGGGGUCAUCCCGACUUACCAACCCGAUGCAAACUGCGAAUACCGGAGAAUGUUAUUACGGGAGACACACGGCGGGUGCUAACGUCCGUCAUGAAGAGGGAAACAACCCAGACCGCCAGCUAAGGUCCCAAAGUCAUGGUUAAGUGGGAAACGAUGUGGGAAGGCCCAGACAGCCAGGAUGUUGGCUUAGAAGCAGCCAUCAUUUAAAGAAAGCGUAAUAGCUCACUGGUCGAGUCGGCCUGCGCGGAAGAUGUAACGGGGCUAAACCAUGCACCGAAGCUGCGGCAGCGACGCUUAUGCGUUGUUGGGUAGGGGAGCGUUCUGUAAGCCUGUGAAGGUGUGCUGUGAGGUAUGCUGGAGGUAUCAGAAGUGCGAAUGCUGACAUAAGUAACGAUAAAGCGGGUGAAAAGCCCGCUCGCCGGAAGACCAAGGGUUCCUGUCCAACGUUAAUCGGGGCAGGGUGAGUCGACCCCUAAGGCGAGGCCGAAAGGCGUAGUCGAUGGGAAACAGGUUAAUAUUCCUGUACUUGGUGUUACUGCGAAGGGGGGACGGAGAAGGCUAUGUUGGCCGGGCGACGGUUGUCCCGGUUUAAGCGUGUAGGCUGGUUUUCCAGGCAAAUCCGGAAAAUCAAGGCCGAGGCGUGAUGACGAGGCACUACGGUGCUGAAGCAACAAAUGCCCUGCUUCCAGGAAAAGCCUCUAAGCAUCAGGUAACAUCAAAUCGUACCCCAAACCGACACAGGUGGUCAGGUAGAGAAUACCAAGGCGCUUGAGAGAACUCGGGUGAAGGAACUAGGCAAAAUGGUGCCGUAACUUCGGGAGAAGGCACGCUGAUACGUAGGUGAAGCGACUUGCUCGUGGAGCUGAAAUCAGUCGAAGAUACCAGCUGGCUGCAACUGUUUAUUAAAAACACAGCACUGUGCAAACACGAAAGUGGACGUAUACGGUGUGACGCCUGCCCGGUGCCGGAAGGUUAAUUGAUGGGGUUAGCGCAAGCGAAGCUCUUGAUCGAAGCCCCGGUAAACGGCGGCCGUAACUAUAACGGUCCUAAGGUAGCGAAAUUCCUUGUCGGGUAAGUUCCGACCUGCACGAAUGGCGUAAUGAUGGCCAGGCUGUCUCCACCCGAGACUCAGUGAAAUUGAACUCGCUGUGAAGAUGCAGUGUACCCGCGGCAAGACGGAAAGACCCCGUGAACCUUUACUAUAGCUUGACACUGAACAUUGAGCCUUGAUGUGUAGGAUAGGUGGGAGGCUUUGAAGUGUGGACGCCAGUCUGCAUGGAGCCGACCUUGAAAUACCACCCUUUAAUGUUUGAUGUUCUAACGUGGACCCGUGAUCCGGGUUGCGGACAGUGUCUGGUGGGUAGUUUGACUGGGGCGGUCUCCUCCUAAAGAGUAACGGAGGAGCACGAAGGUUGGCUAAUCCUGGUCGGACAUCAGGAGGUUAGUGCAAUGGCAUAAGCCAGCUUGACUGCGAGCGUGACGGCGCGAGCAGGUGCGAAAGCAGGUCAUAGUGAUCCGGUGGUUCUGAAUGGAAGGGCCAUCGCUCAACGGAUAAAAGGUACUCCGGGGAUAACAGGCUGAUACCGCCCAAGAGUUCAUAUCGACGGCGGUGUUUGGCACCUCGAUGUCGGCUCAUCACAUCCUGGGGCUGAAGUAGGUCCCAAGGGUAUGGCUGUUCGCCAUUUAAAGUGGUACGCGAGCUGGGUUUAGAACGUCGUGAGACAGUUCGGUCCCUAUCUGCCGUGGGCGCUGGAGAACUGAGGGGGGCUGCUCCUAGUACGAGAGGACCGGAGUGGACGCAUCACUGGUGUUCGGGUUGUCAUGCCAAUGGCACUGCCCGGUAGCUAAAUGCGGAAGAGAUAAGUGCUGAAAGCAUCUAAGCACGAAACUUGCCCCGAGAUGAGUUCUCCCUGACCCUUUAAGGGUCCUGAAGGAACGUUGAAGACGACGACGUUGAUAGGCCGGGUGUGUAAGCGCAGCGAUGCGUUGAGCUAACCGGUACUAAUGAACCGUGAGGCUUAACCUUACAACGCCGAAG